rnacentral:rRNA from 1 species
GUCCAUGCUGUAAACUAUGAGAACUUGCUGUUGGAUGCAUAAAGGCAUUUAGUAGCGAAGCUAACGCGUUAAGUUCUCCGCCUGGGGAGUACGGUCGCAAGACUAAAACUCAAAGGAAUUGACGGGGGCCCGCACAAGCGGUGGAGCAUGUGGUUUAAUUCGAUGCAACGCGAAGAACCUUACCUACUCUUGAAUCCACGGAAUUUUUGCAGAGAUGCAGAAGUGCCUUCGGGAACCGUGAGACAGGUGCUGCAUGGCUGUCGU